CGUCUCCGCAUCCCGCGGGCGGCUUCCGGUCGGACUCACCGCUGCCUCCACGACCCUCAGUACGCGCUACCGAGUGAGAAGGGCCAUUCAAAGGCAAAUGCCCACGUUCAGCUUGUCAGUGAGAAGUUGAGACACAUGGAACUGUCAUCAUAAAGAUCCUUGCAACAGUGUGGCUGUGCCAACAGUUCAGGCGCAACAAGUAAGCAGA
ensembl:lncRNA